AUACAGUGGCGGUCCCGCCGCAGCUUCCAUCGCGUAGUAGCUAACACCUCGCGACUGGAGAGCGGCGCGGCCACGCCGUAAAACACCCAACUCUUCUGAAGUUGACCUCGAAUCAGGUAGGAAUACCCGCUGAACUUAAGCAUAUCAAUAAGCGGAGGAAAAGAAACCAACAGGGAUUGCCCCAGUAACGGCGAGUGAAGCGGCAACAGCUCAAAUUUGAAAUCUGGCUCUCGGGCCCGAGUUGUAAUUUGUAGAGGAUGCUUUUGGUGAGGUGCCUUCCGAGUUCCCUGGAACGGGACGCCAUAGAGGGUGAGAGCCCCGUCUGGUUGGACGCCGAACCUCUGUAAAGCUCCUUCGACGAGUCGAGUAGUUUGGGAAUGCUGCUCUAAAUGGGAGGUAUAUGUCUUCUAAAGCUAAAUACCGGCCAGAGACCGAUAGCGCACAAGUAGAGUGAUCGAAAGAUGAAAAGAACUUUGAAAAGAGAGUUAAACAGUACGUGAAAUUGUUGAAAGGGAAGCGCUUGUGACCAGACUUGGGCUUGGUUGAUCAUCCGGGGUUCUCCCCGGUGCACUCUUCCGGCCCAGGCCAGCAUCAGUUCGCCCUGGGGGACAAAGGCAUCGGGAACGUGGCUCUCUCCGGGGAGUGUUAUAGCCCGUUGCGUAAUACCCUGUGGCGGACUGAGG
rnacentral:rRNA from 1 species